UACGUAGGGGGCAAGCGUUGUCCGGAUUCAUUGGGCGUAAAGAGCGUGUAGGCGGCCAGGUAGGUCGGUUGUGAAAACUGGAGGCUCAACCUUCAGAGGUCGACCGAAACCAUAUGGCUAGAGUCCGGGAGAGGAGAGUGGAAUUCCUGGUGUAGCGGUGAAAUGCGCAGAUAUCAGGAAGAACACCCGUGGCGAAAGCGGCUCUCUGGAACGGUACUGACGCUGAGACGCGAAAGCGUGGGGAGCGAACAGG
rnacentral:rRNA from 1 species